CUUGCUCCCUGAUGUUAGCGGCGGACGGGUGAGUAACACGUGGGUAACCUGCCUGUAAGACUGGGAUAACUCCGGGAAACCGGGGCUAAUACCGGAUGGUUGUUUGAACCGCAUGGUUCAAACAUAAAAGGUGGCUUCGGCUACCACUUACAGAUGGACCCGCGGCGCAUUAGCUAGUUGGUGAGGUAACGGCUCACCAAGGCAACGAUGCGUAGCCGACCUGAGAGGGUGAUCGGCCACACUGGGACUGAGACACGGCCCAGACUCCUACGGGAGGCAGCAGUAGGGAAUCUUCCGCAAUGGACGAAAGUCUGACGGAGCAACGCCGCGUGAGUGAUGAAGGUUUUCGGAUCGUAAAGCUCUGUUGUUAGGGAAGAACAAGUACCGUUCGAAUAGGGCGGUACCUUGACGGUACCUAACCAGAAAGCCACGGCUAACUACGUGCCAGCAGCCGCGGUAAUACGUAGGUGGCAAGCGUUGUCCGGAAUUAUUGGGCGUAAAGGGCUCGCAGGCGGUUUCUUAAGUCUGAUGUGAAAGCCCCCGGCUCAACCGGGGAGGGUCAUUGGAAACUGGGGAACUUGAGUGCAGAAGAGGAGAGUGGAAUUCCACGUGUAGCGGUG
rnacentral:rRNA from 2 species